rnacentral:rRNA from 1 species
GGGGGGCAGCAGUGGGGAAUAUUGGACAAUGGGCGCAAGCCUGAUCCAGCCAUGCCGCGUGAGUGAUGAAGGCCUUAGGGUUGUAAAGCUCUUUCACCGGUGAAGAUAAUGACGGUAGCCGGAGAAGAAGCCCCGGCUAACUUCGUGCCAGCAGCCGCGGUAAUACGAAGGGGGCUAGCGUUGUUCGGAUUUACUGGGCGUAAAGCGCGCGUAGGCGGGUAUUUAAGUCAGAGGUGAAAUCCCAGGGCUCAACCCUGGAACUGCCUUUGAUACUGGGUACCUAGAGUAUGGAAGAGGUGAGUGGAAUUCCGAGUGUAGAGGUGAAAUUCGUAGAUAUUCGGAGGAACACCAGUGGCGAAGGCGGCUCACUGGUCCAUUACUGACGCUGAGGUGCGAAAGCGUGGGGAGCAAACAGGAUUAGAUACCCCGG